GACGAACGCUGGCGGCGUGCUUAACACAUGCAAGUCGAACGGAAAGGCCCUGCUUUUGUGGGGUGCUCGAGUGGCGAACGGGUGAGUAACACGUGAGUAACCUGCCCCUGACUUUGGGAUAACCUCAGGAAACUGGGGCUAAUACCGGAUAGGAGCUCCUGCCGCAUGGUGGGGGUUGGAAAGUUUCGGGGGUUGGGGAUGGACUCGCGGCUCAUCAGCUUGUUGGUGGGGUAGUGGCUUACCAAGGCCUUGACGGGUAGCCGGCCUGAGAGGGGGACCGGCCACAUUGGGACUGGGAUACGGCCCAGACUCGUACGGGAGGCAGCGGUGGAGAAUAUUGUACAAUGGGCGGAAGCCUGAUGCAGCAACGCCGCGUGCGGGAUGACGGGCUUCGGGUUGUGAACCGCUUUCGCCUGAGACGAAGCGUUAGUGACGGUACCGGGAGAAGAAGCACCGGCUAACUACGUG
rnacentral:rRNA from 1 species